CCUACGGGAGGCAGCAGUGGGGAAUAUUGCACAAUGGGGGAAACCCUGAUGCAGCAACGCCGCGUGAAGGAAGACGGUUUUCGGAUUGUAAACUUCUGUUCUUAGUGAAGAAUAAUGACGGUAGCGAAGGAGCAAGCAACGGCCAAAUACGUGCCAGCAGCCGCGGUAAUACGGAGGGUGCAAGCGUUAUCCGGAUUUACUGGGUGUAAAGGGAGCGCAGGCGGCACGGCAAGCCUGAUGUGAAAGCCCGCGGCCCAACCGCGGGACUGCAUUGGAAACUACCGGGCUGGAGUGCCGGAGAGGCAGGCGGAAUUCCUGGUGUAGCGGUGAAAUGCGUAGAUAUUAGGAGGAACACCAGUGGCGAAGGCGGCCUACUGGGCGGUGACUGACGCUGAGGCUCGAAAGCGUGGGGAGCGAACAGGAUUAGAUACCCUUGUAGUC
rnacentral:rRNA from 1 species